rnacentral:rRNA from 1 species
AACGCGAAGAACCUUACCUGGGUUUGACAUGCAGGGAAAUCUCAUAGAGAUAUGAGGUCCGCAAGGGUCCUGCACAGGUGGUGCAUGGCUGUCGUCAGCUCGUGUCGUGAGAUGUUGGGUUAAGUCCCGCAACGAGCGCAACCCUCGUUCUAUGUUGCCAGCGGAUUAUGCCGGGGACUCAUAGGAGACUGCCGGGGUCAACUCGGAGGAAGGUGGGGACGACGUCAAGUCAUCAUGCCCCUUAUGUCCAGGGCUGCACACAUGCUACAAUGGCUGGUACAAAGGGCAGCUAAACCGCAAGGUGGAGCGAAUCCCAAAAAGCCAGUCUCAGUUCGGAUUGGGGUCUGCAACUCGACCCCAUGAAGUCGGAGUCGCUAGUAAUCGCAGAUCAGCAACGCUGCGGUGAAUACGUUCCCGGGUCUUGUACACACCG